rnacentral:rRNA from 1 species
GCAUAUCAAUAAGCGGAGGAAAAGAAACUAACAAGGAUUCCCCUAGUAACUGCGAGUGAAGCGGGAAAAAGCUCAAAUUUUAAAUCUGGCGGUCCUUUGCGGCCGUCCGAGUUGUAAUCUAGAGAAGUGCUUACCCGCGCUGGACCGUGUACAAGUCUCCUGGAAUGGAGCGUCAUAGAGGGUGAGAAUCCCGUCUUCGACACGGACUGCCAGGGCUUAUGUGGUGCGCUCUCGAAGAGUCGAGUUGUUUGGGAAUGCAGCUCUAAAUGGGUGGUAAAUUCCAUCUAAAGCUAAAUACAGGCGAGAGACCGAUAGCGAACAAGUACCGUGAGGGAAAGAUGAAAAGAACUUUGGAAAGAGAGUUAAACAGUACGUGAAAUUGCUGAAAGGGAAACGUUUGAAGUCAGUCGCGUUGGCUGGGGAUCAACCUUGCUCUUGCAGGGCGCACUCUCUGGUUUCGACGGGUCAGCAUCAGUUUUGGUCGCUGGAGAAAGGCUAGGGGAAUGUGGCAUCGCUUCGGUGAUGUGUUAUAGCCCUUGGUUGUAUGCAGCGGUUGGGACUGAGGAACUCAGCGCGCGCCUCUUCACGGGGGUGCCGGGUCUUUCGAGACCACGCUUACGCGCUUAGGAUGCUGGCAUAAUGGCUUUAAGCGACCCGUCUUGAAACACGGACCAAGGAGUCUAACAUGCUUGCGAGUGUUUGGGUGGAAAACCCGAGCGCGUAAUGAAAGUGAAAGUUGGGAACCCUGUCGUGGGGUGCACCGACGCCCGGACCAGACCUUCUUGUGACGGCUCCGCGGUAGAGCAGGCAUGUUGGGACCCGAAAGAUGGUGAACUAUGCCUGAAUAGGGUGAAGCCAGAGGAAACUCUGGUGGAGGCUCGUAGCGAUUCUGACGUGCAAAUCGAUCGUCAAAUUUGGGUAUAGGGGGCGAAAGACUAAUCGAAACCAUCUAGUAGCUGGGUUGCUGCGA